CAUUAGUGUCCUUUUGUUGCUGGAAAUGAAGUUCAAUCAGUUCGGUCUCAGUAAAACUCAUUUUAACCACUUUAAACCACACGUAGUUGUUUGGUGACGAAGUUUGGAUGACACUUGCUUAGUGGCAACGUAUGUAUCAGGCGUGUUAUAAGGCGACGUAGAUAGUUCAGACGUACUUAGUACACGUACAUUUUUAUAUACAUUUCGAACAUGCGGUAAACGAUUCUUCAUGCACUCCCCGUGACAUCGCCGCCGGUCUUUCGUCUGCAGUCCCAAUCAAAUCCAUUCAAAACUUCACACGGACUGACGGCGACGGAAGAGAAGGCUGCUCCUUUUCCUUCUUCUGUGAAAGCUUUGAAUUGUCAGCAUCCACUUGCCAUAUACCGCCACCUACUGUACCGGGGCUCACGAAACUCUUCGUGAUUGGUCGAUGAAACGCUACCAGGAACGCCCUGAGGGCGUUCUUGUGUCAUUACGGGAACACCCAAACCGCAGCUAGACCCUUAAAAAACAGGUUACCUCUAAAAAACAGGUAAGUUGUUCCUGAAAUUUAGGUGAUGACACAAAAAUAUCUGCACUUAAUUAAGCCUGACACAAUUGUCUCUUUUGUGAUUUAAUAUUUAUUUAAUACUAUUAUUCAAAUGAUAGAAAAGAGAUUUCUGAAACAAAUGAUAUCAUCAGGUGUUUCUGUACGUAAAGUGAAUACAUAGAUGAUCAAAUUCGAAGUAAGCAAGCAGGUAUUUCUAUGCAAAAUAAUAAAGCGUAGUGUCUAUAAAAUCAUUAAUUUUAGUAUUUUUCUUGUUAUGUUCAAGUUUGUUUAUUUGUACAGCACAUUUUACACAGUCCCCAGACUGCCCAAAGGGCUUUCCAGAGAAAAAACAAAUCAAUAUACAAUGAAUAAGACCUCAUUCAUUGAAAAUACAUUAUAAAAUACUCAAUAAAAUGAAUAAUAAACAUAAACACAAAACUACUAAUAUCAAAAUACAAUAAAUAACACAAUUCUUGUCAAUUUACAGUCCACCUGUCCCCCUUAAAGGGCCGUUCACACUAUAACAAUAACUAUAUUAGCGUCCACGUCACCGAAUUAUAGCGAUACAUUUAUGCUAAUUCGCUCAUGCACACGGCACUCGCGCAAAUCACUUGCCUUUAAUAAAGCAAUAAGCCCCAAGAUGCAGUGGUGAUACAGUGCAUUUUAUAACAGCUAAGGGGCGUUUCGCGUCAUGCCUAAAACCCCCUUAGCUGUUAUAAAAAGCACAGUAACAUCACUGCUUCGCAGGGCUUAUUGCUUUUUUAAAACCUUUACUUCAUACACUCAAAAAAAUGAAUCCCGCCAUAGUUUAUCAUUAAGUAUUUGUAUCAUUUUCAUUUUAUUUAAAAAUAUUUUUUUCCAAAAUUAUGUAGUCAGAUUGCAUAAAAUCAAUGUAAUUUUGAUCAUUGUGAAAACUAUUUGAUUUUAUUAGUUAAAAAGCAUGAAAUGUUUUUGCAUACGAUCUUUUGGAAAUGCCGAUCCAUACUCCAGUUGUUAGGUGGCAGUAUUGCACAUCAGGUAGAUGACAUUCACAUGCAAAAAAGACUCAGAAGGAGAAGAUCAGCAUCAUCUCCUUGCCACCUUGCUUUUGAGCAGCAUGGAUCGUGACUAGUUUGCAAGAUACUUCAAGAUGCCUCAUCCUUAAUUUUAUUUGUGUGGUGGGACAACCUUCUAAACCUUGUGAAGAGGAGGGUGCCACGUGUCAACGAAACACGAGGUGGAGGACCAAGGGUUGCCCAGGAGGAAAUACCUACCGAUCACUGGAACGAAGGAGCUCCACCCCCCCAACCCCC